AACCAUUCUCACCUGCGGCUAGACCUGCGGAAGGAUCAUUAAUGAAUAAACUUGGUCAAGCUGUUGCUGGUCUCUCGAGACAUGUGCACGCUUGCCACCAACUUUAACCACCUGUGCACCUUUUGUAGACUGGAAACGUUUCUCGAGGCAACUCGGAUUGAGAACUGUUGCGCGCAAGCCAGCUGUUCUUGAGUUUCUCAGUCUAUGUUUUCAUAUACUCCUAAUGUAUGUAAUCGAAUG
rnacentral:misc_RNA from 1 species